GGUCGGUUUGGCCGGAUUUCACACAGGUGUUGCAUGGCUGUCGUCAGCUCGUGUCGUGAGAUGUUGGGUUAAGUCCCGCAACGAGCGCAACCCUCAUCCUUAGUUACCAUCAGGUUAUGCUGGGGACUUUAAGGAAACUGCCAGUGAUAAACUGGGGGAAGGUGGGGAUGAUGUCAAGUCGUCAUGGCCCUUAUGGAGUGGGCUACACACGUGCUACAAUGGUGAUUACAAUGGGCUGCAAGGUCGCAAGGCUGAGCUAAUCCUAAAAAAUCAUCUCAGUUCGGAUCGUUCUCUGCAACUCGAGAGCAUGAAGUUGGAAUCGCUAGUAAUCGUGGAUCGGCAUGCCACGGUGAAUACGUUCUCGGGUCUUGUACACACUGCCCGUCACGCCAUGGUAAUUGGUUUCACUCGAAGCU
rnacentral:rRNA from 1 species